AUGACAGUGUUUCUGGGCACUGCAUUGGUUGAUAUGUAUGCCAAAUGUGGUGAGGUACAUCUUGGAGUGGAGGUGUUUGAGGGAAAAAAGGGCAAGAGUGUACUGGUAUGGACUACUAUGAUCAAGGGCCUAGCUAUGCUCGGCCGAGGCUCGGACUCGUUGAUGCUCGUUUCCCAGAUGGAGAGCUUAGGUGUUGAGCCGGAUGACAUUGCCUUCAUUGGCGCGCUCUGUGCGUGCACACGCACUAGGUUGGUUGACAAGGGUCGGGAGUUUUUCAAUUCCAUGGUCAACAACUAUGGUAUUAAACCAAAGAUUGAGCAUUAUGGUUGCAUGGUAGACCUCCUGGCAUGGAAUGGCUUGCUUAGUGAGGCCAAAGACAUGGUUGAGAAAAUGCAAAUGAAACCGGAUGUGUUAAUCUGGGGAGCUCUAAUGGCUGGUUGUAGGUUUCACAAGAAUGUGGAGUUGCUCGAGUAUGUUAUAAAGCAC
rnacentral:rRNA from 1 species